UACGUAGGUGACAAGCGUUGUCCGGAUUUACUGGGCGUAAAGAGCGCACAGGCGGUCGUUCAAGUCGAGUGUGAAAGCCCCCGGCUCAACUGGGGAGGGUCACUCGAUACUGAUCGACUCGAAGGCAGGAGAGGGUAGUGGAAUUCCCGGUGUAGUGGUGAAAUGCGUAGAUAUCGGGAGGAACACCAGUGGCGAAGGCGACUACCUGGCCUGUUCUUGACGCUGAGGCGCGAAAGCUAGGGGAGCAAACGGG
rnacentral:rRNA from 1 species